UUAUUUUCCAAUGGCCCAAGUGAAGUUUCUCAAGUCCAAUUCAAAGCCGAGGAGCGCAGGUUCUACAAGGAAAAAAAUAGGAAAAGUUAAGCCAGGAGCUCGGACUAUUAAGCCAAAAAAUAGUAAGAAACUACAGCAUUAUGAAUUAAAGAAAAAAUUUUUAAAAGAUAAUGUAAAAGCGAUUGAGAGAGAAACGGUCCAAAAACUUGGAGAUUCUGCUUCAACCUUAACUAUGUUGAAGAAUAAUGAGGAGUCCUUAAAAGAUUUUAAAAAGAAAAAUAUCGGUUGU